GACAUGUUAUUUCUAUGUAAAUGUCCUGGAAUCGAUUAAUUUUGGUGUUUGCCCGAGCAUGAUAACGUAUUGUUGACAUCAUAAUAAGCAUUUCAAAUUGAUCUCAAUCACGUCAUAAUAAACAUAUCAAACAGAGUUCUUGCAACAGAAACAAAAUGAAGCCAUCCCAUUAAUAGCUCUAUUUUGUUUCCGCUUCAAGAACAUUAUACGGCGUAUAAUAUUUGCAAAAAUCCAAAUGUUCCUUUCGGUCUAGCAGUCUGUGCAGCAGGAGCCGCAGCGUUCUGUUAUUCCAAAACUAUAUCGAGAGUUUGUAAUAGCAGGACGCGGCGGAUCAGCAGAACGCUGUGGCUACAAAACUACAUCGAGUACCCGCUGCGGCUCAGUGCCGAGGUGAUGGUCAAAGAGAAAAGACCAUAGAAGAAAUACCCACCGUCAGUACAAGACAUCGCCGAAGAUUAUUCCGUUUGCAGCCGUUCUUUUGCAAGCGGAGAGGUAUUUACAAUGACGACACACCCUUAUAAAUCAUCCUUGCACUACUUAUGUCGUACAUUGAUGAUUUAUGAAGGUGUGUUGCUGACUCUGCUAAAACGACAACAAACAACUCGCACGGGACCGCCUAUGAAAAUAAAAAAAAACAUCCAGCUUUGAGAUAUCGCAUGACCGGAUCGUUCUCGGUUUUCAUAGUGGCGACACGAAAUGGAUUUAGAGGUCCUAAGGCCAAUUUUCAGGGGUUCAACAUCCUCAAAGUGUUGUUUGUUACAUCAGAUGAAUUGGUUUGCUGCAACGACUUCAGCUUCGAGACGAGUCGGAAAAGGAAAAGAAAAAAACACACGACAUGUACGGGCCCGCCUAUGAAAAUAGAAAAGCUUCCGGUUUUUUGACAUCGCAAUACCGGAGUCUUUUCUGUGUCCAUAUUCGUGACCAGAAUCAAUUGAGAGAUUUGGAGUUCGACAUCCUACAAAGUGCUGCUUGUUACAUCAGGUGGUUUGUUUGCUGCAACGGAUUCAGCGACGAGACGAGUCCAUGCCCGCUAGAUGAUUCACAAUUGAGCUAUGAACUGGCCGGUGUUAAGAUCAGCUUUACCCCUGCUAAUUUGUAGCUCAGUUUAUAGUUGGACUGCUAGUAUUAGGCGUGGUAUCGGCAUAACCUUACUGGCAAUCCUUUGCCUGCUCUUCGGACUGUGAUUCUUUUUUUUUUUUUUUUAAUCAUAGUCCGAAGAGUAAGCAAAGACCGCCAAUAUUGUAAGCUUAAUAUAAUGAGUUUUUCCUGUUUACUUUCCUUACCCGCAAAAUACGGAAACAUCGUAAAUCGUAUAUAUUUGUUUGUUUAGUGAAUAAUGAUAGGAUGAGUAUAUAACUCGAGGUUAUAUGUAAUUAUGUAUUUAACUUAUAGAAACGCUUAGGUAACCAGGCAUCGAGCAUUCAGCAAAGAUUUAAGACGGCAAGAAAUAUGCAAAAGACAUCGUCAGAAAUUUGAAUGUAUGCAUAUGUAGCUUUGUUAAGUUCGAGUUCAAAGAUAUAGUUAUUUAUAAACGUCAUCGAUAGCGACACAA